AAACGGCACAUCUGCAACAGCUUAAUCGACCGCAACAGCCGCCUUCUAAGCGGCAGGUCGUAGGUUCGAGCCCUACCGGGGUCGCCA
rnacentral:tRNA from 1 species